GAAUGAAGGAAGAAUGCUAAUGAGCACAGAAAUUGAUUUGGGUCUCUAGGCCUGCCCUCUCUGAUGCCUUUCAGCUUUGUUUUGGGGGCAUUGUUCCUUAGCAAAACA